UACGUAGGGUGCAAGCGUUAAUCGGAAUUACUGGGCGUAAAGCGUGCGCAGGCGGUUCUAUAAGACAGAUGUGAAAUCCCCGGGCUCAACCUGGGAACUGCAUUUGUGACUGUAGAGCUGGAGUGCGGCAGAGGGGGAUGGAAUUCCGCGUGUAGCAGUGAAAUGCGUAGAUAUCUGGAGGAACACCGGUGGCGAAGGCGGCAUCCUGGACCAAUUCUGACGCUGAGGAGCGAAAGCCAGGGGAGCAAACGGG
rnacentral:rRNA from 1 species